GUUGGAAACGACUGCUAAUACCGCAUAAUGUCUACGGACCAAAGGGGGCUUCGGCUCUCGCCUUUAGAUUGGCCCAAGUGGGAUUAGCUAGUUGGUGAGGUAAUGGCUCACCAAGGCGACGAUCCCUAGCUGGUUUGAGAGGAUGAUCAGCCACACUGGGACUGAGACACGGCCCAGACUCCUACGGGAGGCAGCAGUGGGGAAUAUUGCACAAUGGGCGCAAGCCUGAUGCAGCCAUGCCGCGUGUGUGAAGAAGGCCUUCGGGUUGUAAAGCACUUUCAGUCAGGAGGAAAGGUUAGUAGUUAAUACCUGCUAGCUGUGACGUUACUGACAGAAGAAGCACCGGCUAACUCCGUGCCAGCAGCCGCGGUAAUACGGAGGGUGCGAGCGUUAAUCGGAAUUACUGGGCGUAAAGCGUACGCAGGCGGUUUGUUAAGCGAGAUGUGAAAGCCCCGGGCUCAACCUGGGAACUGCAUUUCGAACUGGCAAACUAGAGUGUGAUAGAGGGUGGUAGAAUUUCAGGUGUAGCGGUGAAAUGCGUAGAGAUCUGAAGGAAUACCGAUGGCGAAGGCAGCCACCUGGGUCAACACUGACGCUCAUGUACGAAAGCGUGGGGAGCAAACGGGAUUAGAUACCCCGGUAGUCCACGCCGUAAACG
rnacentral:rRNA from 1 species